rnacentral:lncRNA from 1 species
AUGGGGUUUGUUAAAGUUGUUAAUAAUAAGGCCUACUUUAAAAGAUACUAAGUGAAAUUUAGAAGAUGACAAGAGGGUAAAACUGAUCACUAUGUUCGGAAAUGCUUGGUGAUACAGGAUAAAAAUAAAUACAGCACACCCAAAUACAGGAUGAUAUUUUAUGUAACAAACAGAGUUAUCAUUUGUCAGAUUGCUUAGACCUGUGUAGAAGGGAACGUGAUAGUCUGUGCAGUGUAUGCACAUGAACUGCCAAAAUAUG